ACUAACCUAUGACCUUUUGUUAUGAUGCAGGGAGACAUUCCUGUGUCCAAUGAACAAUGAGAUUAUAGGUCCCUUUGUAGUGUACUGUACGCAGUGUAUAUAAGAUCAGCCAGCCUGGGCAGCUCUCUCACUCUCCACAAACAGUUUUCAUAUUGACUAACUUGGAGCUGUUACCAGAAAGCUGCGCAGCGAUCAUUCCCAGUGUGUAUGAGAUUUUCUAUGUGGAGCUCUAAAGAAUAGAAUGACGUUGCAUUAUCACUCACUAUGCUGCCACGAUGCCGGAGGGCUGUUUUGGCAUGUGGUGGUGACAUAUUGUGCUAUUUCAUAGGCAUGAUUGAGACAGAAGUUAAUGGCAGAGCAUACCAAAUACCAGGACACAUGCAUUGGGCAGUCGGCAGACUCGGAAGAUGUGCGUAGAUGAAAAGCUCUAUCCUGUUCAUUUCUAAGAACCUGCGUCUCUUCAUGUGCGGUUGUACUUUUAUAGAUGGACAUGUGCAGCAAAAUGUAUCCUUAGCUAGAUCUGUAUAUCUGGUAGACUAGGAUCCCCUUCUCAAUGUGAGGCGGAAUAGGGUCUGGUAGUGGUCAGCGGAGUACAGUGAGCGCGUGCUCCCCUAAGUGUAGUGCGUUAUGUGAUGAUAACUAUCAGUAGCACGUUCGUCUUACUUCUGAUUGGCUGCUUGAGUACUGAUCUUGCCAGCUGAUAUUACUGAAUAUACUUACGUCUCAGCUACAUGACACCUAGUCAGGCCCAUCUAAUUGCAUUAGUUAUAUGUCUCUUCCAUUAGGACUGUUGAAGUAAAUAAGGUUCUCAUUAAAUGUAAUGUACAGGAAUAAAGAACAGAUGUUUGUA